rnacentral:rRNA from 1 species
GACUCUCGGCAACGGAUAUCUCGGCUCUCGCAUCGAUGAAGAACGUAGCGAAAUGCGAUACUUGCAGAUCCGUGAACCAUCGAGUCUUUGAACGCAAGUUGCGCCGAGGCCUCCUGGUCGAGGGCACGUCUGCCUGGGUGUCA